CAGUCGCCGCGGUAAUACGAAGGGGGCUAGCGUUGCUCGGAAUUACUGGGCGUAAAGGGCGCGUAGGCGGCGCUCCAAGUUAGGCGUGAAAUUCCCGGGCUCAACCUGGGGACUGCGCUUAAGACUGGAGUGCUUGAGGAUGGAAGAGGGUUGUGGAAUUCCCAGUGUAGAGGUGAAAUUCGUAGAUAUUGGGAAGAACACCGGUGGCGAAGGCGGCAACCUGGUCCAUUACUGACGCUGAGGCGCGAUAGCGUGGGGAGCAAACAGGAUUAGAUACCCCUGUAGUCCCUGUCUCUUAUAA
rnacentral:rRNA from 1 species